AAGGGUGGAGUCGAAACCGGGGUCGAGGCCGGGGCCGGCUGAGUGAAAGGAACCGCGGCAGGGGCCAAGCCUCCUCAACUAUGACCUCAACCGGCCAGGAUUCCACCACAACCAGGCAGCGAAGAAGUAGGCAGAACCCCCAGUCGCCCCCUCAGGACUCCAGUGUCACUUCGAAGCGAAAUAUUAAAAAGGGAGCCGUUCCCCGCUCUAUCCCCAAUCUAGCGGAGGUAAAGAAGAAAGGCAAAAUGAAGAAGCUCGGCCAAGCAAUGGAAGAAGACCUAAUCGUGGGACUGCAAGGGAUGGAGCUGAACCUUGAGGCUGAAGCACUGGCUGGCACUGGCUUGGUGUUGGAUGAGCAGCUAAAUGAAUUCCAUUGCCUCUGGGAUGACAGCUUCCCGGAAGGCCCUGAGCGGCUCCAUGCCAUCAAGGAGCAACUGAUCCAGGAGGGCCUCCUAGAUCGCUGCGUGUCCUUUCAGGCCCGGUUUGCUGAAAAGGAAGAGCUGAUGUUGGUUCACAGGUGAAGGCUUGGGAGCCUUGUAGGGAUGGGGAGGAGCCUGCCCUGGACAAACCAGGGCAAGCUAAACGCUUUGG
rnacentral:sRNA from 1 species